rnacentral:rRNA from 1 species
UGAACGCUAGCUACAGGCUUAACACAUGCAAGUCGAGGGGCAUCAGGAAGAAAGCUUGCUUUCUUUGCUGGCGACCGGCGCACGGGUGAGUAACACGUAUCCAACCUGCCCUUUACUCGGGGAUAGCCUUUCGAAAGAAAGAUUAAUACCCGAUAGCAUAAUGAUUCCGCAUGGUUUCAUUAUUAAAGGAUUCCGGUAAAGGAUGGGGAUGCGUUCCAUUAGGUUGUUGGUGAGGUAACGGCCCACCAAGCCUUCGAUGGAUAGGGGUUCUGAGAGGAAGGUCCCCCACAUUGGAACUGAGACACGGUCCAAACUCCUACGGGAGGCAGCAGUGAGGAAUAUUGGUCAAUGGGCGCUAGCCUGAACCAGCCAAGUAGCGUGAAGGAUGAAGGCUCUAUGGGUCGUAAACUUCUUUUAUAUAAGAAUAAAGUGCAGUAUGUAUACUGUUUUGUAUGUAUUAUAUGAAUAAGGAUCGGCUAACUCCGUGCCAGCAGCCGCGGUAAUACGGAGGAUCCGAGCGUUAUCCGGAUUUAUUGGGUUUAAAGGGAGCGUAGGUGGACUGGUAAGUCAGUUGUGAAAGUUUGCGGCUCAACCGUAAAAUUGCAGUUGAUACUGUCAGUCUUGAGUACAGUAGAGGUGGGCGGAAUUCGUGGUGUAGCGGUGAAAUGCUUAGAUAUCACGAAGAACUCCGAUUGCGAAGGCAGCUCACUGGACUGCAACUGACACUGAUGCUCGAAAGUGUGGGUAUCAGACAGGAUUAGAUACCCUGGUAGUCCACACAGUAAACGAUGAAUACUCGCUGUUUGCGAUAUACAGUAAGCGGCCAAGCGAAAGCAUUAAGUAUUCCACCUGGGGAGUACGCCGGCAACGGUGAAACUCAAAGGAAUUGACGGGGGCCCGCACAAGCGGAGGAACAUGUGGUUUAAUUCGAUGAUACGCGAGGAACCUUACCCGGGCUUAAAUUGCAGUGGAAUGAUGUGGAAACAUGUCAGUGAGCAAUCACCGCUGUGAAGGUGCUGCAUGGUUGUCGUCAGCUCGUGCCGUGAGGUGUCGGCUUAAGUGCCAUAACGAGCGCAACCCUUAUCUUUAGUUACUAACAGGUUAUGCUGAGGACUCUAGAGAGACUGCCGUCGUAAGAUGUGAGGAAGGUGGGGAUGACGUCAAAUCAGCACGGCCCUUACGUCCGGGGCUACACACGUGUUACAAUGGGGGGUACAGAAGGCAGCUAGCGGGUGACCGUAUGCUAAUCCCAAAAUCCUCUCUCAGUUCGGAUCGAAGUCUGCAACCCGACUUCGUGAAGCUGGAUUCGCUAGUAAUCGCGCAUCAGCCACGGCGCGGUGAAUACGUUCCCGGGCCUUGUACACACCGCCCGUCAAGCCAUGGGAGCCGGGGGUACCUGAAGUACGUAACCGCAAGGAUCGUCCUAGGGUAAAACUGGUGAC